ACUCCUACGGGAGGCAGCAGUGGGGAAUAUUGCGCAAUGGGCGAAAGCCUGACGCAGCGACACCGCGUGGGGGAGGAAGGCCUCAGGGUUGUAAACCCCUGUCAGGUGGGACGAACAGCAGGUCGUCGAACAGGCGGCUUGUUUGACGGUACCACCAGAGGAAGCUCCGGCUAACUCCGUGCCAGCAGCCGCGGUAAU
rnacentral:rRNA from 1 species